UCGGGGAAUAUGGCGGUAUUACACUUUGAAAACUGCAGUCAUUUCAACGUAGAAACAAUAACCAAUAAAACACAGCUUUUAAAUAUACACAGUUUUCAUCGCGUUAUAGUAUCGCUGGCUGUGUGGUGGUCUCCUAACGCAGCCAGGUUGCAGCGUACGUUAGUGACAAAGCCGGAAAUUACAGGCCGACAGCGUGGAGUGCACGCGACACCGCACUAUGCUCAUGUGAUGUGCAACGUUAAAUUGCACAGUUAAUACGUUUUCUAUGGAAACUAGUGAUGUGUAUUUAGUAAAGGUGAUAUGCAGAACGCAAUGACAGUGGCCGCGGGCGACGUCUCCAUCCCAUAACGUCGUGCUGAAGGGUGACGUCACAUGCACACGCACCAGAAUUACACCACAGGCGUUUUGGCAAAAGGAUUAAUUACCUCUAUUCAGUUAAAUUUUAAGUUACAUUUACACAGUAUCACUUAUUUAACUAUUUGGUAAAACUCUAUAACUUUCAAGUUACAUUAAGAGAUUGGUAUAAUAAUAUGGAGUCAAAUAAUUAAUAACUAACAGUUAAAACUCUCUAAGACUAUUUCUUCUACAUCAGUGAAACAGAUUAACUGAUAAGCAAUAGUCAAAACUUUAUUCACGCUUCGAGUUUGAUUGAUGUAAGAUGCAGUUCGACUUGCUACAUUUAAAUAACAACUAAUAAAAGCCUGAGAUUUUAAUAAUUUCAUUAGUAAAGGAGAACGAGAUCAUCAUUCUGUAAAUAUAAAUAAGGAAAUAAGAGAAAGUAUGAAGUUAGAAAGAGAGUUUAUGGGAUUUUUUCUUCCCUCUGUCCUUAAAUCUAUAUAUAUACUAUUAUAAUAAAGCGUAAACACACACUUUUUGUUGCCUAAGAUGU